rnacentral:rRNA from 1 species
GAUGAACGCUAGCGGGAGGCCUAACACAUGCAAGCCGAGCGGUAUUUGUUCUUCGGAACAGAGAGAGCGGCGCACGGGUGCGGAACACGUGUGCAACCUGCCUUUAUCUGGGGGAUAGCCUUUCGAAAGGAAGAUUAAUACCCCAUAAUAUAUUGAGUGGCAUCACUUGAUAUUGAAAACUCCGGUGGAUAGAGAUGGGCACGCGCAAGAUUAGAUAGUUGGUGAGGUAACGGCUCACCAAGUCAAUGAUCUUUAGGGGGCCUGAGAGGGUGAUCCCCCACACUGGUACUGAGACACGGACCAGACUCCUACGGGAGGCAGCAGUGAGGAAUAUUGGACAAUGGGUUAGCGCCUGAUCCAGCCAUCCCGCGUGAAGGACGACGGCCCUAUGGGUUGUAAACUUCUUUUGAAUAGGGAUAAACCUACUCUCGUGAGAGUAGCUGAAGGUACUAGACGAAUAAGCACCGGCUAACUCCGUG